ACGACGCUGGCGGCGUGCCUAACACAUGCAAGUCGAACGGAACUCUUUGGAUCAAGGCUUCGGCCAAGUGAAUUUGAGUUUAGUGGCGAACGGGUGAGUAACGCGUGAGCAACCUGCCUUUCAGAGGGGGACAACAGUUGGAAACGACUGCUAAUACCGCAUAACACAUUCGGGGGGCAUCCCCUGAAUGUCAAAGAUUUAUCGCUGAAAGAUGGGCUCGCGUCUGAUUAGCUAGUUGGUGGGGUAACGGCUCACCAAGGCAACGAUCAGUAGCCGGCCUGAGAGGGUGAACGGCCACAUUGGGACUGAGACACGGCCCAAACUCCUACGGGAGGCAGCAGUGGGGAAUAUUGCACAAUGGGGGAAACCCUGAUGCAGCGACGCCGCGUGAGUGAAGAAGAUCUUCGGAUUGUAAACUUCUGUCAACAGGGACGAAGAAAGUGACGGUACCUGUGGAGGAAGCCACGGCUAACUACGUG
rnacentral:rRNA from 1 species